rnacentral:rRNA from 1 species
UAGGGAAUCUUCCUCAAUGGGCGAAAGCUUGACGGAGCAACGCCGCGUGAGUGAUGAAGGUCUUCGGAUCGUAAAACUCUGUUAUUAGGGAAGAACAAAUGUGUAAGUAACUAUGCACGUCUUGACGGUACCUAAUCAGAAAGCCACGGCUAACUACGUGCCAGCAGCCGCGGUAAUACGUAGGUGGCAAGCGUUAUCCGGAAUUAUUGGGCGUAAAGCGCGCGUAGGCGGUUUUUUAAGUCUGAUGUGAAAGCCCACGGCUCAACCGUGGAGGGUCAUUGGAAACUGGAAAACUUGAGUGCAGAAGAGGAAAGUGGAAUUCCAUGUGUAGCGGUGAAAUGCGCAGAGAUAUGGAGGAACACCAGUGGCGAAGGCGACUUUCUGGUCUGUAACUGACGCUGAUGUGCGAAAGCGUGGGGAUCAAACAGG